UUAGGCUUCUACUUGCAUGGAGAAACAUUAUUGAGUGUUACUAUAUUUUCAGCCUGCAUCAAUUGAGACUGACGAAAUGUGCUCCUGAAGAAGCAUCCAGUGAAACAGUUUUAAUCCUGGGGCAGCUGUGGUGCAUUGUCUAGUCUCUUCAAUCGUCAUCCAGCAGACUACACAGCAUGUAUUGUUUUCCUUUUCUUCAUUUUUGAGACCUUGAGUACAACUGAUUAUAUUCCUUAUCAUCGCUCCCAACCAACAGACAGUGGAGUAUUUUGCCUUCACCUCUCCGCUCUUAUGGUUUAUGAACAUAUUGGAUGCAUGUAUUCAUACUGGGAGAAUUAUAAGAGCUGCUAUUGGGCAUCUGAGCUAUUUUGGAGCAAUAUAUUGAUGUCAACAGACUCUGGACUCCUAAUGGGAGAUUAUUAUUUACUAUCUGUUUAUGUGUAGUGUAGUGUAUUCAAUUGUUCAUACAUGCUGUUUGUAGAUGUCUAUUUGGCUGGUUUUUGUAUAAUAUAUUAUUUCAGUCA